UUAUCUAUCCAGUUUUAAAUGGAUGCAAUUCAAAUCAUAAAUCUACGUUUAAGUAAACUUGUGAAUUCUUGUGAUCCUUAGCAAGGUGUGAGUAGUUAUAUAAUCCCUCAGAAUAUCAAAUGGUUUGUCCCUAAGGCAGAACACUUGUAUAUAUAAUGUUUUCAGGUAGGACAAGUGAAACACAUUUAGAAAUAAGAAGAUGUGACAUUUGUAGUUUACAUUUAUUCAUUUAACAAUUUAUACUCAUUGAUUUGAUUCACUCAGGAACCCUUCCCUCUGUCUCAGACGACAUCGUGGACAUGACUGUUUGUGUCAGUUUCUACGACGAACCCUGCGAAAAGCAAGUUACAAUCCAGUUUAAGAAUACUCGAUGCACCAAAGGAGAUGGAACUGCUGCGUGGAGCGACCUAUUUAUGAGAUAAUGGUUCGACCCGUCUGCGAGUAGAAGUUAAACAGUCACCUGAAAAAGGAGCCUGUCCUUAUAAGGAGUCUGGAAUAUAAUCUGGCCUACAUGUGGUCGGUUGUUCGUUCAUUACACAUGUCAAUAAUACAUGUAUGUUGAAGAGAAAUGUAUUUGCAUAUAUUUGCAUAUAUCCAUAUAUUUCAACGUACUGAAU